rnacentral:pre_miRNA from 1 species
GUGCCUAACAGGAGCAUCCGAGUUACUCAAGCCGGACGUAACCGAAACUUGGCUCUGCUGUGGAAGAGUUUGUUCGUUUGGCUCGAGUUAUGCGGGCUUCUUGGUG